ensembl:lncRNA LINC01602 long intergenic non-protein coding RNA 1602
ACCUAGUCCUUUACAGAAAUGCAGAACAACUGAUCAGCCUGUUCUCCAUCAUACCACCCAGGCGCUUAUAAAAACUUUAAGGGUCUGUCUCUUUUCAGUCCUCCUAUAACCUACUUCCAAUUACCUUUGCUACCUUUAAAAUGUGAUAGUAAAAACUAGACGGUUUUGUCUACUGUUUCAAAACUUCUUGUUUUCAAUGUAAGAGAAGGGCUAUUUCUCAGACUUUGAAAUUAACAUUUUUUGCCAAAUAUACCUUUCCAGUUUCAUAUUGACAUUUUUAAAACAAAAGGUCUCAAAACUCUUUCAUAUUUAGCUAUGAUCAAGUGAAUGAGGUUGGCUGUCAUUAAUCAAAUAUCACUUUCCAAAGGUGUUUUCCUCAGUGGAGUGUUUAACCAGAAGUUAUAUGGCCAUCAGCCCACAAUGGUGUAGGCAUUUUAAUAUGAGGUUGGACAAGAUAUCUUCUAAGAUCUCAGCUAGGAUCAUUUGAUACCCAAGACCUUUCCUGCCAGCAUUUCUUCAGCUUCUAUUUAUAUUGUAUUUUCUAUUGUCAGUAUUUAUCAUUUUUCCCUAUUCGUAUCAUCUCACCUCUACAAUACAAUCCAUUUUCAAGUUCUCUUGGCUUUACUCCAAAAAUACAACCUAAAUGUGUUAAAUGUUUUUUCAUAUUCAUUACUGCCAACUUGGUGCAAACGACUGACCUCUGCUUCCUUGGACUAUUGUGGAGUUUCCAGUCUCCCAGCUUUACUUCUUAUGCACCUCAUCACUUCACCACUCCCCAUUGUGAUGCCUGAGCUGGAGUGACCUUACAGGAACAUAAAGGGGAUUGUACAACUUCCAUGAUUUUUCACUCAGGAAUAAAAUAAAAUAUCAAAUAAAAUGUAAAUGUCCUACAAUGGGCUUUUCUCUUCUCCAGCCUCAUCUGCCACUACUCCCUGUUCACUAAACUUAUAUUCGACUUCUUUUUUUCUCAGACACACCUACCUCAUUCCUGCUUGAGAGCCUUCGCAAUGGCUAUUCCCUCUGCCUGAAUUCACUUUCUUCUCAUCUUUACAUGGCUGGUUCCUUCUACUUCCUAAGAUCCCAGCUCAAAUGCCAACUCCCCAGUGAGCCCUUCCUGACCACCUGAUCAAACUAAACUCCACACCUCCAUUGUCAUUUGAAACUUUGCAAUAUACGUUGGCUGAAUGAAUGAGUGAAUUAAUGAACAAGAGAAUGAGUGAGUGAGCUCUCUUUACAAUAUGUCUAUUCUUUUUGCAUUUUCCUCUAGUCUUCUUCCUAAUUCCAACUUUUUUUUAAAAACGACAUUACAUAUAACUUACGCUUACAGUCUGUUGAGUACGUAACUGUUAAGGCAUCAUCCUGCUUUGUGAAUUCCAAAUCUAUUUCUAUACAAUCACACAAACAUUAUCUUCAGCAUAUAAAUGUUUUAGAUUCUUUAAUCUUUGAUUAGCUGCGUUGCUGUGAAUGAUUGAGUGGCUUUGCCUGUCAUUUGUUGAAAUAUCAAAGAUACUUCCUACUCUUUCUGCUAUCGAAGUAGCUUUAUAAAUACCUGAAAUUUCUCUUUUAAAAAAAUGUAUUCUUAGAUUCUCUUUUAAGAGUUUUGAAAUUUUUCUUAUCAUUACAGAGGAAAGAAAUCCAAGUAAAUCAAAAGGAACAGAAACUAGAAAUAUACAGGCAUACUUGUGGCUGGAGUUAUUCCACUACUUGUACAUUAUGUGGCUUACCUCAACAUGUGGAAAAAUACAGUGCAAUGGUGCAUGCCUGUAAUCCCAACACUUUGGGAGGCCGAGGCAGGAGGAUCACUUGAGCCCAGCGUUUGAGAUCAACAUAGCAAAAUCCCGUUUCUACAGAAAAAAAAAAAUUUGCUGCAUGUGGUGGUACACAUCUGUGUUCCCAGCUACUCAGGAGGCUGAAGUGGGAGGAUCACUUGAGGCUGGAGGCAGAAGUUGCAAUGAGCUGAGAUCUAGCCACUGCACUCCAGCCUGGGUGACAGAUUGAAACCCUGUCUCAAAAUAAACAACAAAGAAAACUUCGUCUCCUGCAGGAAGCUAUCAUAAUCCUGACUGCAAGCCACCUAUUUGAAACUUAUUUGAGUUAGAUCUUACGUUAUAUUUAUUUGACCUUUUUCAUCUGUCCAGUUUUCUUCUUGAGUUUAUUCAGUUACCUAAAGAAACUGAAAAUUACUUGUAGAUAGAAAUCACAUUUCAUAAUUUGCUUAUAAUUCCCCUCAGGCCUUCUGCAUUUUAUGCAUAUUGAACAUUACACAAUUUAAUGAAUGGAUCAUUGGAAAAUCUCUCAUUAUGUAC